rnacentral:rRNA from 1 species
UGGUGGAGCGAUUUGUCUGGUCAAUUCCGAUAACGAACGAGACUCUAGCCUACUAAAUAGUUCGGGGACCCCCACAAAGGGGCCCCGCUUCAACUACUUAGAGGGACAGGUGGCGUUUAGCCACACGAGAUUGAGCAAUAACA